GAUGAACGCUGGCGGCGUGCUUAACACAUGCAAGUCGAACGGAAAUGUUAUGUAGGAAGCCAAGAGUUUACUCGAGGUGAAAUUUUUAACAUUUUAGUGGCGGACGGGUGAGUAACGCGUGGAUAACCUACCUUAUACUGGGGGAUAACACUUAGAAAUAGGUGCUAAUACCGCAUAAGCGCACAGAACCGCAUGGUUCAGUGUGAAAAACUCCGGUGGUAUAAGAUGGAUCCGCGUCUGAUUAGUUAGUUGGUGAGGUAAUGGCUCACCAAGACAGCGAUCAGUAGCCGGCCUGAGAGGGUGAACGGCCACAUUGGGACUGAGACACGGCCCAAACUCCUACGGGAGGCAGCAGUGGGGAAUAUUGCACAAUGGGGGAAACCCCUGAUGCAGCGACGCCGCGUGAGUGAAGAAGUGUUUCGGCACGUAAAGCUCUAUCAGCAAGGAAGAAAAUGACGGUACUUGACUAAGAAGCCCCGGCUAACUACGUGCCAGCAGCCGCGGUAAUAC
rnacentral:rRNA from 1 species